UAAAGCCUUUCCUGUUCUUUGGGAGAGAAAGAGGAUCGAAGGUGGCCGAGAGAAGGAAAGAAAUAACAUCAGAGAUUCUGAACAAAAAGAAUUUUUGGAGCCAUUUUGGCAGUUAUAUCCUACUGCUCCUUGUCAGAAGUACUGCUUCUGAGAAUGGCAUUUGCAAAACUGCAGUCCACUGACAUUUUCAAGUGAGAUACCACCCACCACUGCCUUCUGUG